UCCCUCUCGGGAUCACACCUGGAGAGUUUCCAGUACUCGACCAGUCUCGGCUACAGGAGGGAGAGUCAAGCAGGGGCAGAACCAUUCCAUCAUUCCAUUGCUAGCUUGGUCAGUGGCUAGAGAGUGGAAGGCAAUCUGCUACAAGU
rfam:Ornithorhynchus anatinus chromosome 2, whole genome shotgun sequence.